CAAUUUCCUUUGAACACACUCAUUUUCUGAUUGAAGAGAAUACAGAGAAUGUGGAUUUUCCUGGUGCCAAGUUGUUCUUCCAUUCCUCGGCCAAGUUUCCAUUCUGAUUAACUCAAGAUUCACUUGGAACCCUUUCCUUGCUAUGGCCAUUAAUCCUAAACUGCUUUAUCAGGAACUUGGCCCAAUCUGAGUUAGUUUCCUUCCUUGGAUACCUGCCUUAAACCAGAUCCUCAAACCUCAUAAAUAUCCCUCCUAGAAAAUAAGACUCUGUCAAGGGAGUAUUCUUUCUUAUUUCAGUAGGCAAUGAACUUGAUGCUGUUUUAUCAACAAGUUGAUUAAGUGAUGAUUAGGGUAUCAGUAAUCAACAUUGAUUUGAACCCUGGCUAGCUACAACACUUCCUAGCUGUGUGAUCUUGGGAAACAUUUCUGAGAUGGUUAAUACUGAGUGUCAACUUGAUUGGACUGAAGGAUGUAAAGUAUUGUUCCUGGGUGUGUCUGUAAGGGUGUUGCCAAAGGAGAUCAAUGGACUGGGAGAGGCAGACCCACCCUCAAUCUGGGUGGGCACCAUCUAACCAACUGCUAGCGUGGCUAGAAUAAAGCAGGCAGAAGGACGUGGAAGGACUUGACUUCCUGAAUCUUCUGGUCCUCAUCUUUUCCCCGUGCUGGAUGCUUGCUGCCCUCAAACAUCGGACUCCAAGUUCUUCAGCUUUGGGACUCUUGGACUUACAAGCUCUCUGGCCUUCGGCAACAGACUGAAGGCUGCACUUUCGGAUUCCCUACUUUUGAGAUUUUGGGACUCAGACUGGCUUCCUGGUUCCUCAGCUUGCAGACGGCCUAUUGUAGGACUUCACAAGUCUCACCUCAUAGCCUAUUCAUUACCGCUGAAAGUGAUUCAGAUUGUCAAGGCCCAUCUUCUAUACAGCGCUUCCCAAAGUGACGUCGGUAGACCAGUACCAGUAAGAAAACUGUUUCUAGUCUGAUAAGAUAAUCCUCUCUCCACAACUUGAUAAUGCACAAACUGCAAAUCUUCUGGUACUCACUGCUGCAAGCAAACUUGAAGUCUUUCUGAGCCUGACUCUUCAUUCCUGCCUUGUGUGACCCAGGGAUGGAGGACUGCCCUCCCAACUCAUUAUCCUCUUUGCCCAGGAGCUGUACAUACAAAGGUGGUGAUUCCAAAGAAUUAGAGCAAACAAGCUGGAGCUGGAAUCUGUCCUGUUAUAAAAAAUCUGUUCCGCCCAAUCACGAGAAUGUAUGGGUCAAGGUUACAGCCAAUGCCUGCAAAUCACCACCGUGUGUUUCAUUGAAGAAAGUGCCCUGCUCAACCUCAAAUUCUUAUCUUUCAAAUGAUGAAGAAAAUGUCACCUUAUGGACAUCAUCAAAAUCUUCUUUCUGUAAUUGAAAUGGAAUUAAAAGUGAUUUCCUUGGUUUACAGCAAUAGCUAUAAAAUAAACCAAGCUGUCUCUUUGUUUAUUCUUCAGAAAAGUGAAACACUUGAGUUACAAGGAAUAAUCAGAGACUAAUGCCAAGACAUCCCUGAGAGUCCUCCAGAAUGAUGGAGAACCACAUUCCAUCUCUCUAAAUUGGGAGCAUAUUGUAGCUUUGCAGCAUAGCAAUAGGAGGUAUCUUUCUGGGUCAUGGCUUGAUGUUGCAGAAGUGGCAGUGGAGCCUCCAAAAUCCCUGCCUUCCUCAUCCCUUCCAGCUCCACAGGGCUCUGGAGAGGCAGACAAGGUUCUGCAAUGCUCACCUCAAAAACAGUGCUGUAGGAAGCACUUGGCGGGGUACUGCAGUCAUAAACACUCCGGGAUUCCAAGAUCCUGACAGAUGCCUAUGUCACCAAAACUCAAAUUUUAUACUUGGCUUCAUGUGAUACUCUUUUUUAUGAUGCAUAUAUGAUAUGGAACAACUGCUGCUAUGGAAUCACCCAGAAUAAAAGUGACCCUCUUGGAAAUGCCUCCAUGUAUGUGUGAGUGAGUGAGUGACAAGCUGUGACUUGUACUGUCUACUCUGUGUAGCACCUGGGAAAUGUGUCCACCUUGCUCCUUGUCACAGUCUGACUGUGGCUACACUACGCGUCGGUGAUCACUGUCCAUCGGGCAGAAACUCUCUCCUGAUUCUUGCAUGAAAAAAACACUAGUUCAUUCAUC
rnacentral:lncRNA from 1 species